UAAUACGAAGGGGGCAAGCGUUGUUCGGAAUAACUGGGCGUAAAGGGCGCGUAGGCGGUCUGCUGCGUCAGGUGUGAAAGCCCCGGGCUCAACCUGGGAGGUGCACUUGAUACGGGCGGACUGGAAUCCGGAAGAGGAUGGUGGAAUUCCCAGUGUAGAGGUGAAAUUCGUAGAUAUUGGGAAGAACACCGGUGGCGAAGGCGGCCAUCUGGUCCGGUAUUGACGCUGAGGCGCGAAAGCGUGGGGAGCAAACAGGAUUAGAUACCCUGGUAGUCCACGCCGUAAACGAUGUGCGCUAGCCGUUGGCCAGCUUGCUGGUCGGUGGCGAAGCUAACGCAUGAAGCGCACCGCCUGGGGAGUACGGCCGCAAGGUUA
rnacentral:rRNA from 1 species